AAAAAGAGGGGUGAACAUGUCACAAAAGUCUCCAAAAUUUGUUCUAAAGGAAAAUUUCAAUCAAUUACAGUGAUACCUUUCUUGAAUCCAUAGGUUUAUAUCUAUCAAGUGGUCCAAAAAAAUCAUAUGCAUUUCUGCUCGUUUUUCCAUAAAAUUGAAUUGAAAAGAUCGAGCGCAAAAUCUUUGUUGAUAAACACUACAAUAAUUUAUGGACCUAUGGACGGUACGUAUAGGAACAUACGGAUUGUCAAUCAUAUAAAUGGC
rnacentral:lncRNA from 1 species